UACGAGGGGGGCGAGCGUUGUUCGGAAUUAUUGGGCGUAAAGGGUGCGUAGGCGGUUUGGUAAGUCUUAUGUGAAAUCUACAGGCUCAACUUGUAGUCUGCAUGAGAAACUGCCGGGCUUGAGUAUGGGAGAGGUGAGUGGAAUUCCUGGUGUAGCGGUGAAAUGCGUAGAUAUCAGGAGGAACACCGGUGGCGAAGGCGGAUCUCUGGGCCGAUACUGACGCUGAGGAGCGAAAGCGUGGGGAGCGAACAGG
rnacentral:rRNA from 1 species